GGUUAAUUGUCAUAUGCUUUAGUGGUUUCUUACUAGUAAUACAGGGCAACGCUACACUGUUUUUUCUUGUGGGUGUUCUAGCCGCAAGUCUCAUGGGCCUGUACUUCUUUUACGUUGACUUCCUGAAACCUGGCAAUGUGAGAGAGAGGAAGGAAGACCCUAUCACGACGGAAGAUCUAGCAUCUAUCAAUUGGUUCUCACAAAAAAAAAGCCUGGAAUUACCAAGGACAGCAUUAAAAGAAAAGCAUCACAUCCGCUAAGGAACUAUCUAUGAACCUAAACAGUAACUCAGUCAUACUUUAUUUCAUGUAUAAUUACUUCUCAUUUAUGCAUUCCAUGUGUAGUGGUAAUAAACUCUAGAUACUACAAACUUUCAAUCCUUAAAACUGUAAAAAUUCUUUUGCUUCUGAGAGAUUUAAUCGUCAUUGUUCUGAACUCUAAAGACACUUGACAAUAUUCUACUACUACUACUACUACUAAUAAUAAUAAUAAUAAUAAUUCGAUGUGAUUGGUGUUUUGGUGCAUCUACGUGGAUUUCCAAUGUUUGGUUAUUUCCUUAUAUUUCUGACAGAAAAUGGAAGUUUGUCCAAGUUUAUUCUUACAGUAUGUAAUAAUGCUAAGUAAUAAUAUUAAUAUCAAGAUU